rnacentral:misc_RNA from 1 species
UUUCAGUGCAAGUGUGUUUGUUUUCUUCGCUUUCAUCUUUCUUGGCAGUGCAGGUUGCCGCUCUCCCGUGUUCGCUGACCUGCCCCGCCCUCAUCUUCAGUCCGGUGGCGUGUGUGAGCGCGUUACCACCUCCUUUCUUCUCCACCUCCACCCCACCCCCAACCUCCACACACGGGCGGCAGACCGAGAAGGGGGGAGGGUGUCACACCCAUACACACACGCGCACACGCACGCGCAAACUCUCCAUGCCGUUGUGUGCUUCAACACAGCACGCAGACAUCCAUCUGUUUCUUUUCUUAGUUCUUCUACUUUUCGUUUGCUCGGUUAGAGUCCUGUGCGCCGCCACCCCUCCCCCCGUCCACCAGGUGCUGGCGAGAGGCGCCCUACCCCCGUAGUCGCUUGCUCUGUCUCUUUCGAUCUCUCCCGAGUGGUCCCAUCCCUUCUUCCUUCGUAUUGGUUAGCGCUUUCUGCCAUCUCCCGCUCGGCGGGUCGCUGUGCAGACGAGGGAGAGGGAGGGAGAGAGAGAGACUGCACACGUUCGCUAGCGGGUGGGUGUCUGCGUAAUCCAGCUCCACACUCUCCGCAUACCCCGCACACCCGCACGCCCAUGUAAACACGCGUGAGGGAGCGGGAAAGAGCGCCGCAUCCUUUUGUUUGGAUCUUUCUCUUUUCAUUUUGUCGAUGCUAAGCAGCUGUAUCUCGCAUCUCUCUUUGUGCAUGUGCCAUUGUAGCCACUCCUUCCCUUGGACUCGCUUCUCCCUUCUUCCCCCUCCCUCCCUCGCCUCGCCCCCUCUCCCCCAUCACAGCACCCUCUGUGCUCCGGCAUCGCUGCUUCCUUCGCGUCUGUUUGCUCGGUUCUCUCUCUAUCUCUCAUAGUUUGGCUUGGCUUUUUUUUUUGUGUGUGACGUUGUCUUCAUCCCGCAGUGCCGUGCCGCGUGUGUGUGUCUCUUGGGGAGGGGGCUUGUCCGUACAUCUCUGCAGAGGUGACGACAACAGCGGCUUGCGGUAUUCGGAGAGAGCGAGGGCAGCUCGUCUAGGAGACACGGGCACGCUCUCCGUUUUGCAAGUCUGUGCAGAUGAAACGAUCCACCACCGUGCUGCAACCCGUGCCAGCGAACUCGCAGCAGGUGAGCGAAGCUAUGAGUCGUCGCAGGGUCGCCACUAGCAGCAACAGAAGCAUCAGCCUCGACGGGGCCACGUCGGCACCGACAGCUGUGAAGGCCAACACUAAUACUGCCGCCGGUGCAUCCCCUCCGAUGCCAUCGCGCCGUUUUGGAGGCUUGGCAGACAGCAGCAACGGCUCGCCGUCGCCAGCGCGGCCAGACUUCUCGAGCUUUCUCACACCACGUACAUCGAGUGCGCCCGCGCCGAAGACGACAGCGGCAUCACCGCCGUUCCCACCACAGCAGCAGUGGCCUCAUGAUGCUGCGCAGAGCCCUCGACCAAGCCCCUCCGCCUCUGGCACCCCGUCUCGGGAGACUCCGUCAAGAAGACGCACGCAACACAUCCCAGUGCUGUCGAGGGGCACGCCGCCGCGCACCGCCACGGUCGCCGCCGUCACCACCGCGAGCCUCUCUGGCUCGCCGCGCUACGAAGAUGCACAUGACCCUCGUCAAGUGCAGCGUCUCACCGCUGUAAGCAUUUCGCCGAUGCGGAACUUAAUAUCGAAGCCUGCGCUGCCGGCAACUCCGUCAAGUGCAAUCCCCCCGACAGAUAAUUUUGGUGGUAGGCAAGCGGCUUCAGAAGCGGUAGAUGCUGCUGCUCAACCGACCUCGUUCGCAGCAACGUCGGAGUCGACAGCUUUAGCGUCAGCGGCUGCGUGGGGCAGAGCAAAGAAGUCGGCCGCCGCGAAACCAAGUGCCAAGGCAGCGUCUAGGCACGUCGGCGGUGCUCCGCCGACGUUGAUACCGACGAAAGUGUCCCAGAUACGCCUGCUGUCGACGCGCGAGGUCACUGUGGCGAACAAGCCGUGCACGGCGGAGACGGCGGAUGCGAUGCUUCGGGCACAACAUACAUCUGCUUCCACCCGUGCGCGCUCGCCGUUCCUCCGGUUUCAAGUCAGUGAGGCGACGCUGCCUCUAACCUUCUGUACAGCAAGCAGGAAAAGCAGCGUGUGGUCAUCUGACCACAUGAACCGGUCUGCCGUUCUAGGGGCCUCCGGCGCGACGCUCGCGCCGUCGGUGACGUCACCACGCCCCACCUGGUUGGAAAAUGUGGACGAGGAGGACACGACCCUCACGGGCGAGAACACCCCAGUCUCUGCAACGACAAGUCUCACCUACCCGCCCGCGGGCGGUUCAUCGACAGCGCUACGCUCCGCUGCGCCGGUGAAGUCUACACCGAGGACAACAGCAGCAUCGACCACGACGGCGACAGCGCCGGAGCCUGCUGCCGUGAAAUCCUCCAAGAGGAGGUCAGAUGUGAAGCCGACGCUUUUUAGUGCCGCCGCGGCCGCCGACGCUAAGUCAGAGCGGCUCUCACUCACACAGGGGUCUACCUCGCAAGUGAAGAAGUCGCGCGACGUGACACGAAGUGCCACCAACGCUGCACCAUCACCGGCCCACAGCUCUCCCCCUCAAACGCCACACAAACCAACCGCGGUGGCAGUGGGCGCCCAGCUGCACACCCCAAAGAUAUCCUCCAGUGCUAGCAAGACGGCCCGUUCUACACCCACACGUGCGGUAGCUUCCCCGAGCCGGCAUCCCGACGUGCUGCGGGGUGGGCCGCUGCGGCGUGCGACAUCGACGGCUGGAAUGCCUGCACCUCCUGCAGCCGCCGCUGCUGCUGCACCUGUUGUCCCCUCUGCACCAUGUCACGCGACUGGGGCACACAGCCAACGCGCGGCCACUAUCCUGAGCCAGACACUGUCCGCCGUGCGACCGAUGGCCCCGGUCGUGCAUGUGCGCAUACGACCGGUGCUGCCGUCCAUAGGGGAGAGUGGCAAUAACCGGCACGUCUACUUCCUCGAUCACGAGAACGUCAUGGUGACGCGCACUCGCCCGGGCAUUUCCGUCGCCAAUGCCUCCUUAUCCAUGCCGCCCUCAUCCCUGGUCGAGUUCACGGCGACCCGACGGAGUGGCAUAAAUGUGCAAGUUGUGCCUUCGCUGCAGCUGUCAAACCUCGACUGGCGCACGCUGGGCUCCUCUUAUAGCGCCAGAGGUGCCGCUGCCGCUCGCAACGGAGGAGCGGCAGCAGCGGUUGGUAGAGGCGGAGGCAACGCACCCGCGUCAUUAACGGAUGCGCCGCGUACCGCGGCGAUGACGACGGCUUCCCCCGCGUGCCUCUGCGGCGGGGACUUGGCGCUACUGAGGGCACCUGUGCCUGCUGAGAGCCCCAUGGCCUCGAAGACUUCCCCUGCAGCUGCCGGUGCUGCUGUGCCCGGUGACACCGACGGGGGCACCAUUGACGGCGUUUUCUCGAACACUAGCCCUUCGUUGGAGAGUCUGCAGCCGCUCUCGUUCCCGCCCCCGAUACUAGCGAUGCAUCACAACCGCACGAUUAGCUGGACGAGCCAGGGGAGUGAGGAGCACUCUCCCAGCAGCCGUUUGUCUUGCGGGUCGCCAUCCACGUCCGUAUCACCACAGCAGCUCGGUAUGGGUUUGGCAGGCGGCGGCACUGAAGCUUGUAUGAACUUAGGCACCUUCGCUAGCGCAUCGCGCACGCGUCCGUGGCUGACAACGUUCAAGUCGUUCACAGAGGACGAGACGCCGUCGGCGUUUACAACUCCCCGGGAGCUGAGGGCGGGGAGUAGUUCUGCUGGCGUGUGUACCAGCAGAACCAGUGGCCGCGACAGCAGCGGUAGUGCUGCGCGCAGCAGGAGAGGCAUUUCAGCAUCGCAGCGCCGCGCCAAGGGCCCGGGAAUCGAGCGGAAGCCGCGCUACGGCGGCAUUUCACUUUCAGCGGUGUCUCUUGCCACCACGCGCAGGAACUCCGAGGCCACCACCACCGCUGGUGUGAGCCCUCGCACAACCGCCACCACCUCCGCUCCGUCUCCUACCAGCAUGCGCCGGCGCGCGUCGCGCUCAAUCCUCGGUGCAUCCGUGAGUGUGUCGGCCUUGUCGAUACCGACCAUGCCCAAGGCCAGCGGUGGCGCUACGAAUGGCACAAAGUUGACGGAAGAGGAUGCUGACGCGAAGUCGGAUGAGGCACGACAGCACGAGUGGCAGAUGCAGCGGCAGCAGACGCCUAUCGGCAGCAACAGCGUAUCCGCGUCUGGCGCUGCCACGGGUGCGGAGCAGCAUUACAGUUUCGAGUUCGUGCACGACGAGGAGGCAACGCAGGCGGACGUCUUCGAGGAGAGCGUGCUGCGCUUUGCCGACGAGGCGCUGCUUGCCCAAAACGUCGCCAUCAUCUGCUAUGGCCCCACAGGCAGCGGCAAGACGUACAGCAUGAUGGGGAGCCAAGCCCAGCCACCUUCCGCCGCCCCGGCAUCAUCCGGCGCCACACCCCUUCGAGCAGGCGGCGGAGCGGGGCACCGCAGCGGGGGCCUCAGCACCUCCAGCACCCACUCACACCCGCAGCCCGACUCGCGCGGUCACACACCGCACGGCCGCGCGAACGCCGGCGAGACGCAGCGACGGUUCAUCGACGAGGCCGCAGCUGGGCCGUAUGGGGGAGGCGUGGAGCGGGAUGCACAUGCGGUCGAGGACGAUGGCGAGGGCGACGGCACCAGCUGGACAAGGCUCGGCUCCAGUUGCCGGUACGACUACGUCGAGCACACAUGCAAAGGGAAUGGCGGCUCAGCUGCGACUGCAGUGCGACGCAACCACCAACGCUACCCCCACAGUGGCGGCGGUGGAGGGCUUCUCUUGGCGACCUCAGCGAUGGCGCUCGAAUCCGCUGCGAUGACCGGGAGCAUGGCAGAGAUGGGCAUCCUUCCACGGCUAGUCCACACACUGCUGGAGCGGCGCGGGGAGGCCAUCACAAUUCGGCGAGACCCCGGCAGGGACGUGGCGGGCCGCAGCACAAACAGCUUGCAGUCGACUUCGCGGCAGAAGACAACGGUGAAGCGCGCCGGCGGUCUCUCGCUGACUCUCCGAGAUCUCACCUUCUACGGCAUCGAGUUGUACAUGGACGAACUGUGCGACUUGCUGGACCCCGGAAAGCGACCGAUUCGAGCCGUCAGCGACACAGGCGGCUUGGCAAUGCUGUGCCAGCGCAUCAACGAGGCCCGGGACUACCGCAUCAGAGGCAGUCGUGGUGGAUCCAGCCACAACACCACGCAGACUGCCCGCACCGGCGGCGGAAUGGCGAUCACGUCCCUGGCCGACCUGCGUCGCGCGUAUCGCCUUGCCCACGGCAACCGCGUCACGGCGCGCCACGCAAAGAAUGACACAAGCUCCCGCUCUCACGCCAUUUUCCUCCUGCAGCUCGACUUUGACCUGAUCGAGUCGACCAACACGCCCCGCGGCGGCGCUGGUGGCGGGAUAGCUGCAGCGGGUGACAGAGGUGCCGCAGCGCCGCCCCCCCCGUCGGAGCGUGUGCAGCGCGUGCACUCGUAUGUUGCCAUGGUGGAUCUGGCGGGCUGCGAGCGGGUUAAGCAGACCAAGGUCGAGGGGGCCGCGUUGCGUGAGGCGCAGUACAUCAACAAAUCGCUCUCCGCCCUCUCGUCGGUGGUGCUCUCGCUGCACCACCAUAACGCUCAUGUGCCAUACCGCGACUCUAAGCUGACGCGACUGCUGCGGCCCUGUCUCGAGGGCGGCCGCGUUCUCACUCUUGUCCAUGUCGCACCGUGUUCCAGUACGGAGGCGCUCAACACAUUGAAGUUCGCGGACCAGAUUCGCCACAUCCACAUCCCCACCCAUGCCCUUACCCCGACGUCCUCGAAGCACCGCGAGCUGCUGGACGUGUUUGCUGACCUCAUUGACCCGAUGCAGGGGCAGUGGGAGGCGCAGGUGCGGCAAGCACAGCUGCAGCUGGACCGGCUUUGCGCUGACGUACGGUUGUCAUACUUCUCGCGCGCCGUCGGUGCCCUCCCGCACCGCACAGCUGCAAGGGAAUCGUUGGCCAGCGAUGUUGUUAGCGAACUCUCAGCGGUGUCCGAGGAGGACGAUAGCGUCUCCUUCUCCUCGGGCGACUUGAGCCAAGAGGAAGGCCCGCAACCACUGACGGAGGACGCCACGGAGGCGGAUAAACGUCGCUUCGCCCUGCGCACGGUGAUGCACCGAUUCAUGGGGCCCAUUCACUCACGUCAGCGCACAACCAUGCGAAACGCUGUGCGAGCGAUUCGGCGGCGCGCGGAACAGAAGGUGCUUGCCCACCGUCGACAGAUGCAGCAGCAAGUCGAUGAGCUGCAGGCGACGUUGCAGAAGCUCACCGCGGCGAACGCAAAGUUGGCGAAGGAGAACAGCACCCCGCUGCCGCGAGAUCCGCACGCGCUAGAGCUGAGUCGCCGCAUCCGCGAGAGCACCGAGGAGCUCGGGGAGUACGCCAAAGAGCAGGCAGCCCUCAUAUCUCUCACCACCGCGCUCCGGCAGCGCCUUGCCACGCAGGACGACGUAGAGGCGGCGGUGGAUGAGCAACUACACAAGGUACAGCACCGCACCGCGCAGGCUAUGCGAACCCUCUCGGCCGCCGUCGCCGCACACCCACCUGGGGGCCCACCCGCCGAGUCGGGAACGGCGUUGCCCACGGAGCCUACGCUGCCCGCCGACUCCUCGGCCACGGCCGCGUUGGCGAUGAACACGAAGGACGACCCGGAGCUGCGCGACAUCGCACAUCAGCAGCUCUCCCUCGCGAAGGAGCUCGCAGCUUUGCGGCUUGAGAAGGCGUGCUUCGAGAUCGGGACCGCGCUGUGGGAGGGUCUGUGGGCUCGCGCCAUGCGUAAGGAAAUCAUCACAGCUAUGGAGGUGGAGGUCUUUGAGAUGGAGCGCAUUCUACUGGAUCGGCGUGCGCUGUCAAUUAUGAUGUUGAUGGCGGGAGAUGCCGAUGUGGACGGCGAGGCAAACACGGCCGCAUUACUCGUGUCACCGCGGUCGGCAGCAUACCCUGGAAACCGCCUCGGCUCCGUCGAGCGGGACGAACGCGGCAUGGGUGUCACCACCGCUGAGCACCAAGUCGCCACGCCACCGAUGCAUUCAGCACCACAUGCGUCGCAGCCUCGCGUACAGCAUCUGUCACCGUCAGUGACCCCACAUUCAUCACUGAGGGGGCGCCUGGACGGCUACGUGCACAGCGGAGCCGAGCCGGGCGACCGGAGCAGUGGCGUCGCUACGCCGCAAGGGAGCGCUAACAAGGGUGAGGGAGGCGCGGCAGUGCCGUUCAGUCCUUCACUGCCUCAGCGCUCGCGUCGCGACCGUGCAGUGGAUCUCGCUGCCACAACAAGUGACAGGUCUUUAAGCUCCGCAACAGAGUUGUUCAGUGCCAUCGCGUCAAGCAGCGAGGGCCUUCGCCUGCGCAGUGCGCUAGCUGCCGCUGCUGCCCUACCGUCGCCGCCUCCACGCAGAGGGCUUGAGGGGCCUAUGCCCAACCCACUGACGGUGCUGGUGGCAGAAGAGCAACAGAAGCAGCCCCCAAACCACAUGGCCUCUGCCUCAUCUCCGCCGUUCUCGUGCAAGAGCAGCACUGCCGCAGCUGUGAUGGAGGCGCUCAUGCCACUUUCGCUCGCUGGCUCGUACGAGGAGGAGCAGUCGAUGCAGGAGGCAUGUCUGCAGCUGAUGUUACGAGAGGGCAUUCCAUGUGAGGUGUGCUGCUUGGGUGAAUCGGCCAGCCAAACUCUUCAGCACUUCAUCUUGCCUAGCAGCGCCGAUGCGCCCCUAGCAGAGGUGGCUGAGCAUGAGGAGCCGACGUCCAAUUCGUCCGCCGCGCCCGCCCGCUACCGCGUCACGGCGGCAGCGGCAGCGGCCCCGGGCGCAACAGAAAAAGGCGGCGACGCCAGCUCGCUAUUAUCGGGACAAAGGCACGCUAGUGCAGGUGCCCGGGGCGGGUCGUCAUCGGUGCGGCCUUGCGAGCGUCCUGGUGGGCCCAAGGUUCCGUUUUGCACCACUCGUCACGGUCGUCUGCGGCUCGUGCGCAUGCCGCGCCGCCCGAGCUGCUAUGUUCUCGAAUUCGUCUACACCCACCAAGCGCUCCCGAUGACGCCUAGACUACGGGCCGCGAUGCUGGGGAAGCCGGAGGACAAGUUCACGUCGCUACCCGGCAAGACGCAUUUGGAGCAGAUGGUGGACUCUCUGCCGACGGUGCAAGGCGUCGCAGGUCGGGGCGGCGGCGGUGGCAGCAGCGGCAGCACCGCCAUUCGGCCACAAGGCCCACUGCGCGAGCACCGCCUCUUUGCGAUUCCACUGUUUGAGCCCACCCUUCACCUGCACGUGCACGUGUUGGAGGAGGGCAUACCGAACAUGACGACGCCGGUGGCGGCGACUGUGGGCCUGCCGGGCGGUAUCGAUGCCCACGAAAUCGCCGGCUCCACCUUCGAAGACCCCAGUGGUCACAUUGAACCCGGCAUGUCCGCAUCCCCUUCAUCGUCUCUCCCUGCGUUGUGCGUCGCUCGGCGGUUGGAGAGUGGGCCGCAGCUCGUGAUAGAGGUGCGCGGCGUGCCUCAGGCGGCCUCGACGUGCCGGCCGGUGUUCACUCCAGACUCCAAGAAGUCACCGAAGUCCAGCCAGCAGCAUCAGCAGAAGCCCCACCCGUUCCAUAAUACGCCUGCCAGGGCAGGCUCGACGGCCAGGCUAGGUCUCCAGACUGGAAAACCUCAGCACGCCAUCGGCCGCAGUCCUUCUCAACCGUCGACCUCAUCUCAGAGAGGGUCAACGCCGUCCGCGUCUCCGGCUCCGACGGGGGCCGGGACGGCAGUCUGGAGCGGCCUCGUGCUGGCGAAGCGGCUCAGCGGCGGCGGGGAGCUGAUGCUACCGUCCUCAUGCAUCCUAUCGAACAUGGGCUGCUGCUCACUGGUGCUGCGCUUUCCUGCUCCCUUCUUUGCCUCCUCCGCGUCGCGGGUGGAGAGAGUGGAGGCGUUGGUCGGGGCUCUCUGCGGCAUCCUGCGCCCCUCACUGACAGCGCCGGAGGUGCGGGCGUCGUCGUCUCUGUCUCCGUCCAAGCGGGUUGUUAGCGUGCGACGGCGCCCCUCCAGCUCUCCUCGGUCCACCUCCGCAGGCGGCGCGGAGAAGGGCGGUAGCAACGGUGGCGGUCGACAGGUCAGCAGCGGCUCGCGCUUGCCAUUGCCGUGCGUACGCGCGCCGCCCGAGCUAGAGGUGGUAAACUACGCUCACGUCCCGUACAACAUGUUCCUGCCCGCUGCCAGUGCCACUCAGACAUCCGAAGUCAGUGCAGCGAACUUGGGAGACGGAGUGGAAGGCGUCGGCUGCGGGCUCCACACCCCUGGACGUCCAUGUGUGCCGCCUGGUCACGGGGCUGCGCCAACCUCGACCUCCUCAUCCAUUAUAAGCAGCGACUCGCUCGACGGUCUGGGGGCGAUGGGCGGUGGUGUGCUGGGGCACAUGUUGCAGAGCAGCUGUAGCCAUGCGCAUCGACGCCACUCCGCUACCGUCAUGCCACCCGACACAUGUCUGCCGCAGCACACCACCACGUUGAACGGUGCGCUGAAGCCUUUCCGGGGUAAUUCACGAUCGUCCUCCCCAGCAGCGCCUUUGAUGGACCAGCAGAGCAGUGCGACGCUGCAGGUGCAGUUUUACUGGAUACCGACGCCGCUCAACAUCGAGCCACCCCGUCGGGACGCGGGCCGGAAGAGCAGCGGCGGCACCGGCUGCAGCAGCGAUAACGACGGCAACGGCGAGGAUAGGGCGGCGAGGUGGCGUGAGGUAAGCGCGGAGCGACGCAGCAUUGGCAACAGUCACUUUUACCGCGCCAACGCACUUACCUCAACCGCCGCGGACACCGCCGCUGCGGCAGCCGAGGCCAGGAUGGAUCACCUCGUGCGACUGCAGGUGCAGACCGCGCUUUCCAUUCUUGCUCAGCUGUCCUACGUCUUCGUUGAUGGUCGCCCUCUCGCCAAUGCUGCGGACGACGGUGAAGGCGCUGCCGCCUCAUCCCUGGGAUCGACGCUGACAGAGAGCUUCGGUGCGCACGACGUGCGGCGGUCAUUGGUGAUCGAGCGAGGUGGCCGUCCACGGAGCCGGCCAGAGGUGGACGCCGCAGGUUUCCGUGACGCCGUCGCCGUCGCUUCCCUUCUGAGGCAGAUCGACACGUACCGCCAUCGAAUCCGUCGCCUCUUCCGUCAGCAGCUGUACGACGCCGAGGACAUCAUUGGCGAUGACAUGGCGCCACCCGCGCCGCAGCCGUGGCUCACUGGCGAGCUUGGACGCGGCGCCUACCUUCGUGAAGUGCAGGGUGAGGUGAAGCGCACAAUCGGGCUUCCGGCGUCGACCGUCUUCGGCUGCGCUGGCGGUGGUGCGGCGCCGCCGCUGAUGAUGUCCCCUGGCCGACACCCAAGAUGUGACGACCGCGGCAUGCAUGCAGCGCUGCUAGAGCCCGAGAGUGGUGACGCAGCGCCCGACACGCAGGUAACAGUCACCGAGGCGCGCGAGGCUUGUGCGACAAGGGUACCGUGGACUGUGUGGCAGUGGGCCUAUCGCUGGUCUCGGUUGAAUCGGCUGUUGCGCGGGGACUCGGUCAGCUGCCUGGGCAGCGGCGGUGCUCACGACACGGGCCGUCCUUCUGUUAGUCAGGCAGAGGCGGCUGCCGCGUGGCUGCCUCUCGCGGCUGGCAACAGCGGCAGUGCAGCGUCACCGACUGUGACUUCAUCUCUCCUCGCGUCCUGCUCCAUGGUUGCCCUACCGACCUUGGCCACCGCCUCCUCGAGCUCCGACGAGGGGUUCGUGAUGGGGGGCGACUGGCUCACAGAGGCGAAGCUCGCGGCGCGUUCAAAGCGGGUGUGGCUGCCGCAAGUGCUCGCCACGACGGUCCCAUCCUACUUGGAGAACUGCGCCUCUGCGGGUCUGUAGGCGAGGGCCGCGGCGGGGAGACUUCUGUGGGGCGAGAGGAGAGGGGUCUGCAGUUGCUGUGUGCCAUACGUGUGUGUGUGUGUCUGUGAUGAUCUGUUCUAUGUUAGUGUGGAUUCCAGUCUUCUCGGAGGGGUGUCGGUGUAGACCGGAGCAGCGACACACGACCUUUCAGCGCGCGCCCGCGUGCUUCUUUUCUGUCCGUCGCCUUCCUUCUCGUAGGGUGCGUGUACGUCUAUGUACGCCUGCGUGCGUGCGUGUGUUUUGUGCAUCAUCCUCGACGCCGACACGGGAUUCGUUGCCGACGCCGUCAUCCCUCUGUCUUUUGGGUAACUCCACGACAUCCCUUUCUGCACUCUUCGUAGCGAGCACACACACUGCACAAGAGAGGGCGCAGGGGGACAGGGACGGCGAUCAUCCUUCCUGACACACUCUCCUGCCUCUACUGAACACGUCACUCCGCGCUCCUUCUCGCCUUCCUGUCGUUUUCUGACCUCUGUCACCUUUAACUGCUUUCACGCGCACGCACGCACUGGUGCCCGCACCCCCGUGCACGAGCGAAG